UUAUAAGUACAUGCAAGAGGUGGUUUAGAGUUUGCCUUCUAAACCUUAAAAGGGAAGUCCGGUGAGAAUCCGGCACGGUCGCGCCACUGUAAGAGCGAGCUGCUUAUCAUUGCCACUAUUCAUCAUUUAGUGAUCUUAGCUAAGUUGAAUGGGAAGGGAUAAGCAAGCGAUGAACUUGAGUCAGGAGACCUGCCUUUUGUACGCACUAGUA
rnacentral:ncRNA from 2 species